UCACACAGAUAAGAAAUAGAACGAGGUCGAUACCACAAUAUUGCUCGCGAUAACAGAAAAUGUAUCAUCACACAGAUAAGAAAUAGAACGAGGUCGAUAUCACAAUAUUGCUCGCGAUAACAGAAAAUGUAUCAUCACACAGAUAAGAAAUAGAACGAGGUCGAUACCACAAUAUUGCUCGCGAUAACAGAAAAUGUAUCAUCACACAGAUAAGAAAUAGAACGAGGUCGAUACCACAAUAUUGCUCGCGAUAACAGAAAAUGUAUCAUCACACAGAUAAGAAAUAGAACGAGGUCGAUACCACAAUAUUGCUCGCGAUAACAGAAAAUGUAUCAUCACACAGAUAAGAAAUAGAACGAGGUCGAUACCACAAUAUCGCUCGCGAUAACAGAAAAUGUAAAUUGUAUAAUCUUAAUGUCGUAGAAAGUGAAUACCAUUAACAUUGCCCAAUAUACAACGAUAUUAGAAAAAAUAUAAUUAAAGUCAUAUUAUCAAACAUACAUUACAUUAAAUAAGUUUGAUAUGUUAAUGAAGACACAAAAUCAAAAAGAAAUAAUUUAUCUUUCGAAAUUUAUAUAUAAAGCGAAUUGUUAAAGGAACAAUUUAAAAACAGAUUAAUUCAUCUUAGUAUAAUAU